rnacentral:rRNA from 1 species
ACGGGAGGCAGCAGUGGGGAAUAUUGGACAAUGGGGGAAACCCUGAUCCAGCGACGCCGCGUGAGUGAAGAAGUAUUUCGGUAUGUAAAGCUCUAUCAGCAGGAAAGAAAAUGACGGUACCUGACUAAGAAGCCCCGGCUAACUACGUGCCAGCAGCCGCGGUAAUACGUAGGGGGCAAGCGUUAUCCGGAUUUACUGGGUGUAAAGGGAGCGUAGACGGUUUUGCAAGUCAGAAGUGAAAGCCCGGGGCCCAACCCCGGAACUGCUUUUGAAACUGUAGAACUGGAGUGCAGGAGAGGUAAGUGGAAUUCCUAGUGUAGCGGUGAAAUGCGUAGAUAUUAGGAGGAACACCAGUGGCGAAGGCGGCUUACUGGGCUGUAACUGACGUUGAGGCUCGAAGGCGUGGGGAGCAAACAGGAUUAGAUACCCUGGUA